rnacentral:rRNA from 2 species
GGACUACUAGGGUUUCUAAUCCUGUUUGAUCCCCACGCUUUCGUGCAUGAGCGUCAAUAUCUGCGUAGUAAGCUGCCUUCGCAAUAGGUAUUCUAUGUCAUAUCUAAGCAUUUCACCGCUACAUGACAUAUUCUGCUUACCUCCACAGCAUUCAAGAUAUAUAGUAUCAACGGCAGUUUCCGGGUUAAGCCCGGAGAUUUCACCACUGACUUACAUAUCCGCCUGCGCACCCUUUAAACCCAGUAAAUCCGGAUAACGCUUGCACCCUCCGUAUUACCGCGGCUGCUGGCAC